UACGGGGGGGGCAAGCGUUGUCCGGCAUUACUGGGCGUAAAGGGCUCGUAGGCGGCCAACUAAGUCAGACGUGAAAUCCCUCGGCUUAACCGGGGAACUGCGUCUGAUACUGGAUGGCUAGAGAUUGGGAGAGGGAUGCGGAAUUCCAGGUGUAGCGGUGAAAUGCGUAGAUAUCUGGAGGAACACCGGUGGCGAAGGCGGCAUCCUGGACCAACACUGACGCUGAGGAGCGAAAGCCAGGGGAGCAAACGGG
rnacentral:rRNA from 1 species